rnacentral:rRNA from 1 species
UACGGAAGGGGCUAGCGAUGUUCGGAAUUACUGGGCGUAAAGAGCGCGUAGGCGGCUUACCAAGUUGGGGGUGAAAUCCCGGAGCUCAACUCCGGAACUGCCUUCAAAACUGGUAGGCUCGAGUCCGGAAGAGGGGCGUGGAAUUCCCAGUGUAGAGGUGAAAUUCGUAGAUAUUGGGAAGAACACCGGUGGCGAAGGCGGCGCCCUGGUCCGGUACUGUCGCUGAGGCGCGAAAGCGUGGGGAGCAAACAGU